rfam:Massilia timonae CCTG 45783 genomic scaffold supercont1.4, whole genome shotgun sequence.
UGUCUCCUCUAUUCUCCUCCUAGGAAAUAGAUUCAGCCCGCUUCUAACGAAGCGGGUUUUUUUUU